GACGAACGCUGGCGGCGUGCUUAACACAUGCAAGUCGAACGGAAAGGCCCUGCUUGCAGGGUACUCGAGUGGCGAACGGGUGAGUAACACGUGGGUGAUCUGCCCUGCACUUCGGGAUAAGCCUGGGAAACUGGGUCUAAUACCGGAUAGGAGCCAUUUUUAGUGUGAUGGUUGGAAAGUUUUUUCGGUGUAGGAUGAGCUCGCGGCCUAUCAGCUUGUUGGUGGGGUAAUGGCCUACCAAGGCGGCGACGGGUAGCCGGCCUGAGAGGGUGGACGGCCACAUUGGGACUGAGAUACGGCCCAGACUCCUACGGGAGGCAGGAGUGGGGAAUAUUGCACAAUGGGCGCAAGCCUGAUGCAGCGACGCCGCGUGGGGGAUGACGGCCUUCGGGUUGUAAACUCCUUUCGCUAGGGACGAAGCUUUUUGUGACGGUACCUAGAUAAGAAGCCCCGGCUAACUACG
rnacentral:rRNA from 1 species